rnacentral:lncRNA from 1 species
GGGAGGUCUUGCCCCGCAAGAAAAUCCUUUUACAAAUCUUAAUCUACAAGGAUUCCUCAAAUCUACUCGGACUAGGGUUGGACCGGUCAGACCGCCGUACCUUCCGGUCAGUCCGGUCGAUUUUGCCAGAUUGGCUACAGGGUCCCGGACCGGUCAGACCGCCUGGAGAAACCGAUUGGUCCAGCCUGAUUUGGCUUGCUGCCAAUUUCGGACUCCAACACGUCGUUUUGCGAAGUCGUGAGGCG